CGAUCAAAGAAGAGGAAGCCGAUCACCCCAACUCGAUGAAGGUGAUGAUGGCGACGACUCCGACAACCAGAUUGGCAGCGAUGGCGGCUAGGGUUCCAGUUUGGGGGUUUUGAAACCGAAUCGUGAAGGUGUUGAGCACGUCUGCAACCUUUAAGCACCAACAAAUGAGGGCGACACAUAAGUGAGAGAGAGACGAUGGAAACCGUUUACGAUAGUGUACCUGGUCGCGAAUGAUGUCGCUUCUCACUUCCGAUGCAUACAUGACCGCCACAAGAAAAAAACAGGGGCGAGAAGUGUAUUCUGGUGAAGUCUGACGAGUCUCCGGAAAAGAUCUGAUUUAGCAUGUGAAAGGGAAUGCAGCAGGGUGAGGACUACCAGUUGGUUAAGUUAAAGAUAAUCAACUUCAAUGUUUGUCUUCUGAUGUUACUUCAUGUUUUGAUGUUUAGCUUUUAAAGGUUGCUUUUCCAUGUUGCAAAGCAAGAAAGAACAAGUUGUGGUGGUUGAAAGACGUGGUCCUGAUGCUACGUGGUUAUUGAACGUUUAUCAUGCUCAUAGAUGGGGGAAGGAUGUUGUUAAUUCGGUUGACUAGAAGCACCAGAAGAAGAACAAGAAGAACGAGGUUGUGAUUUCUUCGGUGUGUGAAACGCUAAAAGUAGAUGAGGCAACAAAAGAGCAUGUUAGGCAGUUUAUGCCUAAAUUAACCGGUCUGGAUGUUGUUGCUAAUAUAGGGAAGACGAGCAACUCUCGCUUGGACUUUAAAGCAGAAGUGGGACCUACAGAUCAAACUUCCCAAACUUAGGAUCCAAAUAACAUUUUCAAACUAACAUCUGGUUAUGUCUUUAAUCAUGUGAGAAUCUUGAAAUUGUUAAUAAACUCAAUUGCAUCUUAUUGGUUACUAGCAUUACUGAGA